UACGAGGGGGGCAAGCGUUGUCCGGAAUUAUUGGGCGUAAAGAGCUCGUAGGCGGUCUGUCGCGUCUGCUGUGAAAACUCAGGGCUUAACCCUGAGCUUGCAGUGGGUACGGGCAGACUAGAGUGUGGUAGGGGAGACUGGAAUUCCUGGUGUAGCGGUGAAAUGCGCAGAUAUCAGGAGGAACACCGGUGGCGAAGGCGGUUCUCUGGGCAUUACCUGACGCUGAGGAGCGAAAGUGUGGGGAGCGAACAGG
rnacentral:rRNA from 1 species